ensembl:lncRNA
CUUCCUAGCAGAUGUUAUCAUGAACUAUCUUAUGUGCUGGAGUGUUCUAUUUGCUGCCCAAUUGAAUCCAGCAAUAUUGGAAAUCAAUGGCAAAUCAUUACAUGAACAUGAGGACAGCACUGGUUGGCCUAAGCCAGAGAUCUCUACCCAGCUGACAGUCAUGACAGUGAAGGACCAGGUUGAGUUGCAUUGUGACCUACAGCAUUGGUAUGAUGAGUGCCUUAUUAAUUCCAGUUCCCAACAGAGGCCUUUCAACGAGGGCCAGUCCAAAACAAAACCCUGCACUGUGACUGUGAGUGGGGCUCAGCUCCUGGUACCUAAAGCUGGCUACAAUACACUGAUCCAGAUCUCAUGUGGUUACUCUCGGAAUACAACCUGGAGAUACAGUGACAAUAUUACGGUGAUGGUUUUCAAUAUUAAUCUGCCCAUGAAGUACAUAGUCAUCUCAGUGGUUGGGAUUGGACUCACCAUCCUGCUCACUCUGUGUAUCCUUAUCUGGGGCUGCUACACCAUGCUGACUGCUUCAAGAAACAGAGCACCUCCACUUCCCUCCCAAAGUUAUCCAACUCAACAAACGGAUCAGCAAAGCAGUAUGUACUAGUCAGUCUUAGAACUCUGUAUAGCAGCUGUAAACUGUAAACUGAUACAAAAAGAACACUGCUAUGCAUAGCACUGACCUGUUCUUGUCUUCUUCUGGUCAGCAGAAGUGGCUGAGGGAGACAAAGAGGUGAGACAAGUAGGUCUGAUGACAUUACACAAAUAUUAUUUACAAAUGUAUAGGUCUACUUAUUAUUUCAUUAAAACAUUUAAAUGAACUGUUAACAUUUUAAGUUAACUGUUAAAAUAUGUCUGUAUGGUUUCUUUUUUUAAAUUGAUAGAAUUAUACAGAAUUUUAUUUUGUGAUAACAGGAGCCUGAGGAUGAUCUGUGCUAUGCUACAGUGAGGUAUUCUAGCACUGUGAAGCGCUCACCACAGGUGCUCCGGUUUGAACAGAACUCUGAGUAUGCUUCAGUGAUCUUCAACUAACCAACACGGCGCCCUCUAAUGACCUUCAGUUGGCAACAUUCUAAUCAUAUAUUUGUGAUCAUACUCCUCAGUGGGUUAAUGAUCACAGCACAUUCCCUACCUGUGCAGAGGAAGGAGGACAGAACCUAGGAUAUCAUUACUAGCCAUUGAGACAAUACAAACAUACCAUAGACUGCUAAAACUAAAACAUUAUGAAUGUGAAAUGCUUGAAUUAAUUUCUAUUUGUAGAGGCAUUUUUUCCCCUGUUAUCGCCAGUUUGUUUUGUUGGUUUAUAAGCAGUACAAGACAGACCAUGACUCAUGUCUUAAAAUGUCAAUGCAUGUUUGUUUCUUUAAUUAAGUUCACUAAUUUUGAUUCAUCAGUUAAAACAAAGAUUGUAACUUAAUUAAAGACCUUAUUCAACAGUCUACUACUAUAUGUUGUGUAGUGUGUGUCACCUUCAGUUAGUAGCCUAUGCCUAGCAGUAGUCCUCAGUGAUAUCAUAGGCGGAGAUCCCAGGGGGGGGACACAAAUAAAUAUUUUUUAUUAAUUUAGUAAUAUUAAAUA